UCUUUACACCAGUCUGGUAGUGACCAAGUGCAUGUGGAGCAGAAAGAUGGCCCCUUGUCUUGUCCUUAUGCAAGCCAAAAUCUAAACCCACCAGUGGUAGAGUGCAACUUGGCUGUUCUGCUGUCUUUGAAUAAUGCAUCUGGGCUAGUUAUCCAAAAGGGUAUUGAUGUGAAGAAUUUGUCUGAGUCCAGCUCCCAGCCUGCCAAAGGGCCCAGCACUAUCCCAGCUGGGGAACCUAGCUCUCUGCCUGCUGUGGUGCCCAGCUCCCAGCCUGCCAAGGAAUCCGGUGUUAUCCCAGCUGGGCAACUUGGCUUUCUGCAUGCUGAGGAGUUCAGGCCCCAGCCUGACAAGGAGUCCAACACUUCCCCAGCUGCCGAGUCCAGUCCUCUGCCUACGGAGUCCAGUGCUCACCCAGUUGUAGAGUCCAAACC